rnacentral:rRNA from 1 species
UACGUAGGGGGCAAGCGUUGUCCGGAGUUACUGGGCGUAAAGGGCACGCAGGCGGUGCGCCAAGUUUCGACUGACAUUGUUCGGCUUAACCGAAGAGGGCGUCGGAAAACUGGAGCACUUGAGGCAUCGAGAGGGACACGGAAUUCCGGGUGGAGUGGUGAAAUGCGUAGAGAUCCGGAAGAACACCAAAGGCGAAGGCAGUGUCCUGGCGAUGACCUGACGCUCAGGUGCGAAAGCCAGGGGAG